UCCGUAGGCGGAAGAUUAAGUCAGUGAUGAAAUCCUGCAGCUCAACUGUAGAACUGUCAUUGAUACUGAUUUUCUUGAAUUUAGUUGUGGUAGGCGGAAUGUGUAAUGUAGCGGUGAAAUGCUUAGAUAUUACACAGAACACCGAUUGCGAAGGCAGCUUACUAAGCUAUGAUUGACGCUGAGGUACGAAAGCGUGGGGAGCGAACAGGAUUAGAUACCCUGGUAGUCC
rnacentral:rRNA from 1 species